GAGCCUCUAGUGCCCUAGCACUGUAUGCAGGCGAGCAGCCGUUCCACGAGCAGCAUCGACGGUGCGGGAGCUGCCGAAGCAAGCAGCGGACGCACGCCCGGGUCCUGCAGAUCUCACCGAGUGCCACGGACGGCAUCACAUCUCGUGCCGUUCCUGCGUGACUGCAAUUCGCUUGUGGGCCGUGACCGGGGCUUUGCCGUUGCGGGGACGGGGUGGUGCCCGCGAGGUGUUCGGGGCAUUGCACGAGUCGAGCAGAGCAGAUCUGCCGCAUUGGCACGGACGGAGGGGCAUUGGCGCGAGGUAAGGAUGCUGAUCUAUUGCCAUCUCUGCUUCCCCGCAGCGUUGGAUUUGUCAUACAUUCGCAUUGUUGGGUGUGUGUUGCUCGUGUCCCAACUCUGUGAUGGCAUGGGACUAAGAAUGUAAGACCGUACCGUCAUGCCUUUUUCUCAUCUUGUAGCUAAGACAAUUGUUUUGACAACUAUUGGAGUAUUGGGUGGCAUAUUCCACUACGCA